CAUACGAGUGCGAACGUUGCAGCGCACAGUGAAAUAGCACGCAGUGCACGGUAUCACAGAAUUUGGCGGAAACGAAUACAACGAAAGCUGCUGGACGCGUACCAGCGAACACACGCACCGCCCGCGUCCCAUUGCUGUUGGUCAUGAGUAGCACCGCUGUGGCGAAGGCGUCGCCAGACAUCCAGACCGUGCAUAUAUGCGUCCAAGAUGUCCGCGUGCAUGAAGUGCAGAUGCCGCAUCAGCCCCGCUUCACCGUGGAGGCCGCCGGGACGUGGAGGUGUGAAGAGGCAUCGAUAUCGGUGACGCGCAGUGUCGCCCUUCAUACGCCAGAGGAGCAAGCAAGGCAGCAGCGAACGCCUCUCGGCGCGCACAAAGCGGGAACAGUCCACAUCGUUGCCGAGGGUCGAGUACUUAGUCCUGCGGCGCAUGAUACCAGUGCGACCAGCAGCAGCAUCAGCUCCCGUGCUGACGCAGCAGUCUUCCCCGUGCCUCUCUACGCGGCGCGUGUGUCGUAUCAGCGUCCGAAUCGAUACAAAGAGCACUGGAGCCUUUGCAUCGUGGAAGGACCACAGAACUCUACCGCGCUUUCUCGUCCUCAGUUUUACUGCGGCGCGCGUCGACACAGCCGUAGCAGGGGCCUUGAGCGCAGCGGAGACAAGCCCACGCGUGUACUGUUCAUCGAUGUCGCCGCUCUCACCCCCGAUGCUCGCGCGUCCCUGCGCUGCACCAGUACUGAAGAAAUCUCUAUUCCCACAGCGCUCUACUUCCGAUGUGCAUCUGCGUCAUCGUCUUUGCCGACUUCAGCGUCGACGAAAAACAACGGCAAGCUGCAAGUGCGCCACGGCCCUGGGCACAGCGCAUGGGAUGGAUCACAGCAGCGUCGUCGCCGGGUCAUACUUCUCCCACCCACCGCGGCGGGCAAAACGUUUGAAUUAGUGUGCAUCAGCGUGAAGCGAGGGCGCGACGAGUGAUACGAGUGAAAACUCGCUCGCCACAGAGAGAGACGGAAGCAGGUGCAGCCCUUUUAUGACUGAAGAGGGUCCGCAACUAUCAGCUGUGUGUGUGCGAAGGUGCGUGGAGGGAGGGUGAGCAUACGCCGAUCUUUGUGUCCGUCUCCCUCACCCUCCUCCCCUCCACGCGCCUGCACUCUCGUGUCUGCUUAGUCCUCACCGUAAUUUCCCCGAUGAAUUUCAGUUGUUUGGUAAUGAGCGAGUAACGUGGUGCAUGCCUUUGUGUGUGUGUGCGUGUGUGUCACCGCUUCACUGCAUUAUGUGCUCUCACGCACACGAUGGAAGUGCUCACGGGCGCGCACAGCCAUAUGCACACACACACAUACACACACACACAAGCACGAUAACGGAAAUAAAGGCAGAGGUGCCUUUUUGAUGGGAGAAGGGAACGUCAUCCACCCUCAGAGCGGUGAUGGUGUGAAUGGGCACCUGGGCAUGGUGUCGCAGAAGAACGCACGCAUAUGUACAUAUAUAAGAACAGGUGGGUAAGGGCUGUCCACCGCCUUCCUCUCCCCCUCCCCUGUGAAUCGCACAUGUCUCGUUAUCCUGUCGCAUCCUUGAAAGCACCCUCUCGUCUCUCGCUUUUCCCGUCUCACAUCCCUCGCCAUGCGCUCUCUAUGCCCCGUUGCCACGCCUCAG
rnacentral:misc_RNA from 1 species